rnacentral:rRNA from 1 species
AAUAGAUACCCUGGUAGUCCACCCCGUAAACGUUGGGAACUAGUUGUGGGGACCAUUCCACGGUUUCCGUGACGCAGCUAACGCAUUAAAGUUCCCCGCCUGGGGAGUACGGCCGCAAGGCUAAAACUCAAAGGAAUUGACGGGGACCCGCACAAGCGGCGGAGCAUGCGGAUUAAUUCGAUGCAACGCGAAGAACCUUACCAAGGCUUGACAUAUACGAGAACGGGCCAGAAAUGGUCAACUCUUUGGACACUCGUAAACAGGUGGUGCAUGGUUAUCGUCAGCUCGUGUCGUGAGAUGUUGGGUUAAGUCCCGCAACGAGCGCAACCCUCGUUCUAUGUUGCCAGCACGUAAUGGUGGGAACUCAUGGGAUACUGCCGGGGUCAACUCGGAGGAAGGUGGGGAUGACGUCAAAUCAUCAUGCCCCUUAUGUCUUGGGCUUCACGCAUGCUACAAUGGCCGGUACAAAGGGCUGCAAUACCGUAAGGUGGAGCGAAUCCCAAAAAGCCGGUCCAGUUCGGAUUGAGGUCUGCAAUUCGACCUCA